ACUUUGGUGUCCCGGGAGAUUUGCUCCACCUGGAAUAGGUGGAGACCCUGAGGGUUUUAUCCCAUCACCCAGAAGAGAGAGAUCAGUGAGAUUUUCCCACCAGUGCCAAGGACUGAAACCAAACCCCAUGUGAAAACCUCAAGUAGAAGGAUGGACCACUGGAGCGUGGUGGCUAUGGUCUCUGUUCCUGCCAUGACCAGGUCGAGGAUGGAUGCCAUUAAGUUGUCAUCAUGGAAGAGGCUGUCUUUCUUGUUUUUCUCCUUGAAAAACACAAGAGGGCACAGCACAAACCAGGUGAGGCAUGGGGUUCAAGGUAAAGCCGACAUCAGCAGUCAGAUCCAGGUCUGACUUAUCCACUCCUGGAGGGGGACGAAAAACAAAUUUGCGGAGCAAGCCCCCAAAAAAGAGGAACAGCUCCAUUUUGGCCAGUCCUUCACCAAGGCAAGCCCUUCGUCCUGAAAACAACCAGGAGAGAAGUUAAUGAUCAGCACUGUAACUGUUAGUGUUGAUCUCUGAGACCUAAACUGGAGAUACAGUCUGUAAGAGCAGACUGCUGAGGCAGCUCUCCUGGUUCAAUGACACGGUUCAUUUCUUCCUGAAUCUUUCCUUGGAGGGAGGAAAGGAUUAAGAAGCUGAUAACAAUCUUACCUUGCAACUGAAAUGACUUCCAGUUUGGCAAAGAUGAAGAAAAGGGAAAACUGUGAUUAUUUGGGAAGAGCAGAAGUGGGAAGGUUUGGGAUGAUCUCCUCUUUAUGUGUGCUGAGUGGUAACUUAUGUCACACACAUGGGACAUCAUGACAACCUUUUAACCAGCAGUUUCAGUGGAGCCACGGAGUAAGUCCAGCACAGCUCACUACCUGUUUUCUGUCUCUGGAAGAAAGACUUGACACUCACCAUGAUAGGAUUCAAAAUAUUUGAUAAGGGAAUUUACUUCCUCCAGGAUUCGGAUCUCCAGGGUUCUCUUUCCCAUUCCGAAAUCCCGCAGUGUGGACAAGAUCACAAAAAUGGAUCUGUAAGAUGGUGAUACCCUCUGCUGUAAGAAGCAUGAUUUAAAAGGGCAUCCUUGAUGGUUUCAUAUCCAGCCAGUACCACGGCUUUCCUGGGUCCAAAAUGCACGGUGAAGACAUUGCCAUAUGUCUUGGAUAGCUGACAAGCCCAGAAUGUCCUUUUUUCUACAAUGAACUGGAGGAUUUCAGUGUCUGCACUGCCCUCUCACUGCAGAUGUUCAAGUGGCUGAAGGAGUGCACUGUGGACUGUCUUUCCUCCAUCAGAGUGUCCAGUAAGCACACACAGGGCGUGUGACAGGUCACUCACAGCACCUCAACUGUCUCUACAGCAACCAGAUGAUAUCUGAAUUCACACUGACUUGUCCCCACCUCCCAUGGGAACACAGCAGACACUUUCAGAAACAAACAUUGCCCCUGGCUUUAAAAUAUUUAAGGGUUUUUUUUCUUUCUUUUAAAAAUAAAAGUAUCCAUGGAACUGUGUAAGAAAAACCAAAUUUUUUAGCUAGACAUAUAAAAGCCACGUAUCAAGUCCUUAAUAACCCUGGCCAGUGUGUGUGUGCAGGGGAAUGGCUGGGGAGGCAGAGUUGUGCUUUGCAUUGCAGGGAUAUAAUUAGCUUUGGAAAUGUGUGCAUAGGACCCCCUUCCCUCUGCUGUGGGGAUGAUACCCUUUCUUCCUUCCUUCCUUCCUUCCUUCCUUCCAUCCAUCCAUCCAUCCUUCCUAGAGGUCUGGCUGCAGUGAGACAUCUCUUGAUGGCAAAUAGUACUGAUCUGUCGGCAACUGGCCCAAAUUGAGUCUUCUGCCUGCAGCCUCUGAAGGGCUUGAAACAUCAACAAUAUGGAGCUGAUUCCAAGGGAUGGGGAUCUACACUGAAGUGCAUAAAAAGAAAGGAGUGUAUGUAUUAUAUUUAUACAUAUAAAUACAUGUCUGUGUGUGCACACCUCCGAAGGUAAAGUCAUUCUGCCAGUCGGCCUAUAUGCCAAAUAUCUCAUUUCUGCCCUCUGUGCAAAGCAAACACAAUUGCAUCUCCAUUUCUCUAGUUGCAUUUCUCACUUUGGGAAUUGCACAUUUUCCCCCUCUCUCCUCAUCCAGCCCCUACCUCUGUCAGCGACUGGAACGGCUUUUUCAGGUCCACCACGUUCAAGUUUCCGAUCAGAGGAAGAGGCCGUGGCCCAGGAGGCAAACUGCAAACCGACUUCUUCGAGCUGGGGCAGAACUCAAGAACAGGACCCAAGCUGGAUUGCUGCCAUGAUGCCAGGUCACAGGGCUCAGCUGGACCACUGGUGAUGCAAUGGAGGAAGCAGGACACAGGAAAGCCCACAAUAACACAUGGCCCAGGGUGCAGCUGGCAAGUAAGCCCUCAGGAAAGACAAGACUGACCAUGGAGGAGUUGGAACGGUGGUUGCAUAAAGAUGUGCUAAUUCAGGAUUGCCAAUGGGAGUAGAUCUAUUUACAAGUGACAGCUUUGAUUCUCUUUGCUUUCCUGCCACCCCAGUGAAACCACCUCCUUGAGCAACACAGUGUUUUCAUUGCUAGCACUGUUAUUGAUCUUUGUCCCAAAAAUUCUCUCCCAGCAAUCCCAAACCGCUCCUGAAACCACUUCAGUCAUUAUUUUGCAGUUUACUGUCCAGAGGACUGGGUGUCCAUGUCUGGCUCUGUGUUUGGUGAUGACUCUUUCUGUUUAUGGGCAGAUGCUUGUAAUCCUCUAGGAGAAACCGUCCCCUCCAGGCAAUCCUUCUGCCUAGAUUGGAAAAGAGAUCCUGAACCUUUGUAAUCUGGGAGGAGCCAGGAUCAGAGUGCAGCUGGCCAGGCAGAGGAUGGAGGCUGCCUGGGCAGCUGUUGUAGAGGGGGUGCCAGGCAGGAGCAGCAGUUUUUUGGCCCUCCAGGUGCACUGAGUCAUGUACCAUGCCAGGGCAGGGGCCUGCAAGAGCCUGCGUGCCCGGGAGACAGCUCCCCAAGAGCCACCUACACCCUCUGCAUCCUGGAGGGAUGACAACAAAGCUGAAGUGAUCAUGAACAGUAGGCCUCUGUUGAAAUGUUAACUCUGGGGGAAAGAGUCAAUUUGAUGCUCUAUCACAUAUUCUCAAGUGGGGAUAUUUUGUUCCCCAGUUGCAGAUUCUGUCAGAUUACUGGGCUGGGCUGCUGUUCACCCCUUUAGAAAUCUUUAGCUUUAAUAAUACUUUUGAUAGAAUUCUCCAAGGCUCCCGGGUGCAGGCUCCACUGAUGGAAAAAUGAUGAUUAUUUAUUAAUAAUAAUAAAAGUACAUUAGCCGAAGGCAAGGGGAAUCAAUAAACUCUAACUAAAUUGACAUGAAAAAGGUGCCUGCACAUCUGCCUGCUCUCCAAGGCUUGUUAUCAGGAGUGGAGUUUUUCACAAGGGGGAACUUUCCUGUGCAGGGUGGGCAAAGAAAAGAGGGCAAUGGAUGGUCAUGUCAGUCUCAAGAUUUGCUGCAAAACUAUGAGGUCUUUUUCUGCACUCUCUUCUCCCAGACAUUUCCAAGAAUAUCAGAUUCUUCUCUGAGAAAAUGGUGUGACCACUGGGACUCCUGACACUCUGUAAUACACAGUAAGAGGGAGGAAAAAACCCUACAUGGGGCCAGUUGGGUACCAGUGGAGGAAAUCUGUUGUUUCUGUUUACAUACAGGUCUGUUGGAAUGGAGCUGGCUGCUGCCAUAGCAAGCAAGAGCACCUUCCCAAGGGCUUCCAAUCUGUUUCAAGCUUCAGGUUGUACCUGGUGACAAUAUAGGGUGAAACCCUUUCUCAAAUAGUGAGCCCAUAGACUUGCAACCCGCUGGGCUGGUGUAUGCACUGUGGGAAAUAAUGGAGGAGCUCUCCAGCGGGAGGGAAUGAUUGCAGUCUUAAAAUACAGCCAAUGUGAUGCCUUCACCUCCACUUCUUCCUCAUGUACCUUGGUUUCCAGUAUGCAAUUCCAAACACAGCCUACAACUGAGUUGCUGGCUUGCAGGUGAGGCAUCCCACACAGGACUGGGGAGAAAACGUUACUCCCUGCUCACGUGUCUUUGUCUUUCUACCAGCCCAAGCCAGAACUGAUACCAUCUUAAGGUAAGCAGACCUUGUGGGCACAGCUCAGUUCCUCCUAGAAAAUGAGCCUGUACAUUAAACAGCCACAGUAAUUUCUGUGUGCUCAUCUGGAGAAGGUCAUAUCAUCUUCUAAUGGGACACAGGUUAACAAUGCUACAGUAACUGUAGGAUAAUGCAGGGAAAGAGUUGUUAUAAGGCCAUAAUUCAGUCAAUGACUGCUGAUAACAUAAUAAACCAUGAGAGUGAACACCAAGUGCUUGUGUGCCUUGCAAGGCUCUGCCACUGAUUUACAGCCUCUGGAGAUGCCUAUCAGCCCGUGCAUUGUUAUCAGGAAUAUAUAAAGCCUGAGCACACCCUAUUAAACAUUAACAUUUUUAAAGACCCAGAUGUGUUAAAACUCGGGCUGCUCCUUGCUAAUGGAUUUUGCUUGCCCUGACAAAUGCCACUGCAAAAAGAAAUCAAAAGCUUCCCGACUUUGACCUCUUUCAAUUUUUCAUCAUUAUGGCAUUGUUUUAUUGGAUUACACCCACUUCUUCCCACCCUGCCAAUCUGUAUUUCUGCAGGAUCACUACAGGGUGGUGAUCAGUAUCUCAAGUGUUCAGUGUGCUCAUUUUCAUACAAAUAACUUGUUAGUUUCUUUUCAGUUAUCUGUCAAAUCAGUGUGGGCUGCAAAUCUACUUUGAGAAGAAAGACUCCUGGAAAAAUAUUUUUAAAAAUCGUUAUUUCACUGCAAAAAAAUUUUUAAAGACUCAUGGGGCUUUUUAUACAUAUUCUGAGCUGAAAGAAUUUAUGUGAUGGGUCUGGUCACUGGGGGAAGAAAAUAAAAAAAUCUAUGCGUGGGAUUAGUGCAUUGUCCCUGUGCAGAGCCUAAGGUGACAGUAU